GACGAACGCUGGCGGCGUGCUUAACACAUGCAAGUCGAACGGUAAGGCCCUUCGGGGUACACGAGUGGCGAACGGGUGAGUAACACGUGGGUGAUAUGCCCUGCACUUCGGGAUAAGCCUGGGAAACUGGGUCUAAUACCGGAUAGGAACUCGGGAUGCAUGUCCUGGGGUGGAAAGCUUUUGCGGUGUGGGAUGGGCCCACGGCCUAGCAGCUUGGUGGUGGGGUGAUGGCCUACCCAGGCGACGACGGGUAGCCGGCCUGGGAGGGUGAGCGGCGACAGUGGGACUAGGGUGCGAGCAAGACGCCUAGGGGAGGCAGAAGUGGGGAAUAGUGGAAAAAGGCCGCAAGCCGUUGGCAGCGACGCGUCGUGAGGGAUGACGGCCUUCGGGUAAUAAACCUUGUGCGGUACCGGCGAAGCGCAAGUGACGGUAGGUACAGAAGAAGGACCGGCCAACUACGUGCCAGCCGCCGCGGUAA
rnacentral:rRNA from 1 species